rnacentral:rRNA from 1 species
GUCCAGACUCCUACGGGAGGCAGCAGUGAGGAAUAUUGGUCGAUGGGCGGGAGCCUGAACCAGCCAAGUCGCGUGAGGGAUGACGGCCCUAUGGGUUGUAAACCUCUUUUGCCGGGGAGCAAAGUGCCGCACGUGUGCGGUUUGGAGAGUACCCGGAGAAAAAGCAUCGGCUAACUCCGUGCCAGCAGCCGCGGUAAUACGGAGGAUGCGAGCGUUAUCCGGAUUUAUUGGGUUUAAAGGGUGCGUAGGCGGACGCUUAAGUCAGCGGUAAAAUGUCCGGGCUCAACCCGGGCCGGCCGUUGAAACUGGGGAUCUUGAGUGGGCGAGAAGUAUGCGGAAUGCGUGGUGUAGCGGUGAAAUGCAUAGAUAUCACGCAGAACUCCGAUUGCGAAGGCAGCAUACCGGCGCCCGACUGACGCUGAGGCACGAAAGCGUGGGGAUCGAACAGGAUUAGAUACCCCCGUAG